rnacentral:misc_RNA from 1 species
ACCUGCGGAAGGAUCAUUACCGAGUGAGGGUCCCUCGGGGCCCAACCUCCCAUCCGUGUUGUCCUGACACCUGUUGCUUCGGCGGGCCCGCCGUGGUUCACGCCCCGGCCGCCGGGGGGUUCACGCCCCCGGGCCCGCGCCCGCCGAAGACCCCUGGAACGCUGCCUGGAAGGUUGCCGUCUGAGUAUACAAUCAAUCAAUUAAAACUUUCAACAACGGAUCUCUUGGUUCCGGCAUCGAUGAAGAACGCAGCGAAAUGCGAUAAGUAAUGUGAAUUGCAGAAUUCCGUGAAUCAUCGAAUCUUUGAACGCACAUUGCGCCCCCUGGCAUUCCGGGGGGCAUGCCUGUCCGAGCGUCAUUGCUAACCCUCCAGCCCGGCUGGUGUGUUGGGCCGCCGUCCCCCCCCCCGGGGGACGGGCCCGAAAGGCAGCGGCGGCGUCGCGUCCGGUCCUCGAGCGUAUGGGGCUUUGUCACACGCUUCAGUAGAACCGGCCGGCUUGCUGGCCACACGACCUUCACGGUCACCUAUAUUUCUCUUAGGUUGACCUCGGAUCAGGUAGGGAUACCCGCUGAACUUAAGCAUAUCAAUAA